AUUGAACGCUGGCGGCAGGCCUAACACAUGCAAGUCGAACGAGUGGCGGACGGGUGAGUAAUGUCUGGGAAACUGCCCGAUGGAGGGGGAUAACUACUGGAAACGGUGGCUAAUACCGCAUACCAUCGGAUGUGCCCAGAUGGGACUAGCUUGUAGGUGAGGGAACGGUUCACCUAGGCGACGAUCCCUAGCUGGUCUGGGAGGAUGACCAUCCACACUGGAACUGAGACACGGUCCAGACGCCUACGUGAGGAAGCAGUGGGGAAUAGUGCACAAUGGGCGCAAGCCGGAUGCAGCCAGGCCGCGUGGAUGAAGAAGGCCGUCGGGUUGUAAAGUACUUUCAGCGGGGAGGCGUUACCCGCAGAAUAAGCACCGGCUAACUUCGUGCCAGCCGCCGCGGUAAUAC
rnacentral:rRNA from 1 species